AACAAUUGGAGGAAGAAAAUAUCGAAUGUAGUACAAGAAAUAAAAAUGAAAUUGGCCUUCUAAUACCUCCACUUUAAUAAAGUGGGUUAUAAUGUUUUGCCUCUGUCUGUACGUCCGUCAGUCCAUCCGUCAGUCUGUUCGUCAGUCCAUCCAUCUGUCCGUCCGUUUGUCCAUUACAUGAAAAUUUUUCGUCGCUUCUAUCUCAGGAACUACAUAAUAAGGAUUUCUGAAAUUUGGUUUUAGGGUUUAUAUAACUCAGCUAUACCGUGUAAUGCGUUUUCAGUUUCAUUCACUCGACAACUUCUUGUUACAAAAACUUGUAUCAUUUAAAACAUUAUAUCCAAGUUUGAAAAUGUUCUCACAUUUUUCUCAGGAACUACAAGACAAGGAUUUCUGAAAUUUGGUUUCAGGGUUUAUAUAAGUCAGCUAUUUAUGACGCGUUUUCAGAUUAAUUCUUGACAUUUAACUGUUUACCGAACAGUUACAUAUUGUUACACUAUUAAAAUUAUCCACUGGUGGCGAGGAUAUCAUCAGUCGGCAGUAGCUCGCAGUUUUACUUUUUUUUGUCUGAGCGUCACUGUUCAGUAUUUUUUGUUGAUUUACUUUUGUUGACACUUUUGUCGACGAAACGCGGGUUUUUCGUAAUAAGUGUAAUUAUUACCUGGUAUCUAUGCUAAUCUAUAAUAUAAAUUGCUUAGUUGGACAUUGAAAAAAAACCGCAUGUUUAGGUGUUCCGUGUGCAGAAACAUGAGUUUCUUAACUAAUCUUAUACG
rnacentral:lncRNA from 1 species